rnacentral:rRNA from 1 species
AGAGUUUGAUCAUGGCUCAGGGUGAACGCUGGCGGCGUGGAUAAGGCAUGCAAGUCGAAUGCAUUUAGUUGCAUGGCAGACGAGGUAGUAACGCGUAGAUACGUGCCCCAAAGUCAGGCAUAACCUGUCGAAAGACAGAAUAAUUCCUGAUAGUCCUUACGAGGUAAAGAUUUAUCGCUUUGGGAGCGGUCUGCGUAGUAUCAGCUUGUUGGUAAGGUAAUGGCUUACCAAGGCUAUGACGCUUAGGGGAGGUGAGAGCCUGACCCCCACCGAUGGGACUGAGACACGGCCCAUACUCCUACGGGAGGCCGCAGUCGAGAAUCUUCCGCAAUGGGCGAAAGCCUGACGGAGCGACGCCGCGUGAUUGAUGAAGCCCUUCGGGGUGUAAAGAUCUUUUAUGGGGGAGGAAGUUUAUUGACGUUACCCCAUGAAUAAGAGGCUCCUAACUCUGUGCCAGCAGGAGCGGUCAUACAGAGGCCUCAAGCGUUACCCGGAAUCACUGGGCGUAAAGGGUGUGUAGGUGGUCAUAUUAGUCUUGUGUUAAAGACCGGAGCUCAACUCCGGGAGUGCGCAGGAAACGGUAUGACUAGAGGGCGGCAGAGGUGCAUAGAACUCAUGGUGUAGGGGUGAAAUCCGUUGAUAUCAUGGGGAAUACCAAAAGCGAAGCAAUGCACUGGGCCGUUCCUGACACUGAGACACGAAAGCGUGGGUAGCGAAUGGGAUUAGAUACCCUAGUAGUCC